GUGCUUGGUUUGGCAGCACUUGUACUAAAAUUGGAACAAUACAGAGAAAUUACCCUCGCCCCUGUGCUUGUAUGACACACAAAAUUUUUAUACAAAAUAAUAUUGA